CAUAAACAGAUGCUGAAAAUCACCCUGCAGUUAGUGAUACUGAGUGGGGAGGGUGGUGGGGGCAGGGGAGACACGAAUCUGACUACUCCCACUCAGCACAGACAGAAGUGCAGUAAGGAGCCAGAGACACACCAGACGAAGGAACCAGAUACAGAAGGCCUUCUUCAAAUCCCAUUCUGGGGACGGUCUAAUGACAUUUAAUUUCUGCACAAAAUUGUACCUCAGAAACUUCACCAAGGCAAGGAAAAAAAAAAAAACUGACAGCAUUGCUACCAAGGGUGUGGCAUCAAUAGUAAUAUUCAUCAAAUAGCUGUUUUUCUAUCUCCCAGUGACUCAUUCUGGCCAAUGAAACGUGGGUGUUGUCACCUGUGUCACUUCUGAGUAGAGGCAUGAAAACCCCAUGCAACUCUGGUUUCUCUCUUUCCUGCCCCAGAAGCUGCGUGUUCCACAUGGUACACGUGUAAGCUAGUGGAGCCUCGCUGACCACAGUACGUUUGCAGACGUUAUUUUUUAAAACAUUGUGUGCCUGUUGUGAUUCUGGACACAGAGAGCCCGGCCCCAAUGUGAGACAUCACAGAACAGCCAGAGAAGGAGAAGGACGAACCCCAUCUGGACACAAGGGUUGCCUCUGGUCCAUCAAAGGAAGACUGUUCCCCUUGCAUCUCGUCACUAUGAGGAGGGAAACUCUCCUCCCCAAAGCCCAGCCGAGAUCAUCCUAUCAAACCUCCUACCCACUCUAUGCAGAGAACCUCUGAGAAAAUGAUGGCAGGACCUCUGUGAGGGGGUUGCUCAUUUUCAUGGUCAACGACUUUACCACCUCUCAGUUUACGGGGUUUAAUUGUAGGGAAAACAUCAUCAAUAAAAGGUCUAACAGUU